AGAGUUUGAUCAUGGCUCAGAUUGAACGCUGGCGGCAGGCUUAACACAUGCAAGUCGAGCGGGGAAAGGUAGCUUGCUACCUUACCUAGCGGCGGACGGGUGAGUAAUGCUUAGGAAUCUGCCUAUUAGUGGGGGACAACAUUUCGAAAGGAAUGCUAAUACCGCAUACGCCCUACGGGGGAAAGCAGGGGACCUUCGGGCCUUGCGCUAAUAGAUGAGCCUAAGUCGGAUUAGCUAGUUGGUGGGGUAAAGGCCUACCAAGGCGACGAUCUGUAGCGGGUCUGAGAGGAUGAUCCGCCACACUGGGACUGAGACACGGCCCAGACUCCUACGGGAGGCAGCAGUGGGGAAUAUUGGACAAUGGGGGGAACCCUGAUCCAGCCAUGCCGCGUGUGUGAAGAAGGCCUUUUGGUUGUAAAGCACUUUAAGCGAGGAGGAGGCUACUUAGAUUAAUACUCUAGGAUAGUGGACGUUACUCGCAGAAUAAGCACCGGCUAACUCUGUGCCAGCAGCCGCGGUAAUACAGAGGGUGCAAGCGUUAAUCGGAUUUACUGGGCGUAAAGCGUGCGUAGGUGGCCAAUUAAGUCAAAUGUGAAAUCCCCGAGCUUAACUUGGGAAUUGCAUUCGAUACUGGUUGGCUAGAGUAUGGGAGAGGAUGGUAGAAUUCCAGUGUAGCGGUGAAAUGCGUAGAGAUCUGGAGGAAUACCGAUGGCGAAGCAGCCAUCUGGCCUA
rnacentral:rRNA from 1 species